GUGGGGAAUAUUGGACAAUGGGCGAAAGCCUGAUCCAGCAAUGCCUCGUGAGUGAUGAAGGCCCUAGGGUUGUAAAGCUCUUUUACCCGGGAUGAUAAUGACAGUACCGGGAGAAUAAGCUCCGGCUAACUUCGUGCCAGCAGCCGCGGUAAUACGAGGGGAGCUAGCGUUGUUCGGAAUUACUGGGCGUAAAGCGCGCGUAGGCGGUUUUUUAAGUCAGAGGUGAAAGCCCGGGGCUCAACCCCGGAAUUGCCUUUGAAACUGGAAAACUAGAAUCUUGGAGAGGUCAGUGGAAUUCCGAGUGUAGAGGUGAAAUUCGUAGAUAUUCGGAAGAACACCAGUGGCGAAGGCGACUGACUGGACAAGUAUUGACGCUGAGGUGCGAAAGCGUGGGGAGCAAACAGGAUUAGAUACCCGUGUAGUCC
rnacentral:rRNA from 1 species